GAACGAUGUCAUCCGGUGGCACACCGGAGAAGACUAUUGGCGAACGGGUGAGUACACGUGAUCAACCUGCCCCGAAGAUCGGGAUAUCAGCGGGACAACCGCUGCUAAUACUGGAUACCCCCAUCAGGCCACAUGGUCCGAUGAGGAAAUGGAUUCCGCUUCGGGAGGGGCUCGCGGCCUAUCAGCUUGUUGGUGGGGUAACGGCCUACCAAGGCGACGACGGGUAUCUGGUCUGAGAGGACGAUCAGCCUCACUGGGACUGAGACACGGUCCAUACUCCUACGGGAGGCAGCAGUGGGGAAUCUUGCGCAAUGGGCGAAAGCCUGACGCAGCAACGCCGCGUGAGGGAUGAAGGCCUUCGGGUUGUAAACCUCUUUCGAGCAGGGACGAUAAUGACUGUACCUGCAUAAGAAGCUCCGGCCAACUACGUGCCAUCAGCCGCGGUAAU
rnacentral:rRNA from 1 species